ACGUACACUCCUACGGGAGGCAGCAGUGGGGAAUAUUGCACAAUGGGCGCAAGCCUGAUGCAGCCAUGCCGCGUGUAUGAAGAAGGCCUUCGGGUUGUAAAGUACUUUCAGCGGGGAGGAAGGCAAUACGGUUAAUAACCGUGUUGAUUGACGUUACCCGCAGAAGAAGCACCGGCUAACUCCGUGCCAGCAGCCGCGGUAAUACGGAGGGUGCAAGCGUUAAUCGGAAUUACUGGGCGUAAAGCGCACGCAGGCGGUCUGUCAAGUCGGAUGUGAAAUCCCCGGGCUCAACCUGGGAACUGCAUUCGAAACUGGCAGGCUUGAGUCUUGUAGAGGGGGGUAGAAUUCCAGGGGUAGCGGUGAAAUGCGUAGAGAUCUGGAGGAAUACCGGUGGCGAAGGCGGCCCCCUGGACAAAGACUGACGCUCAGGUGCGAAAGCGUGGGGAGCAAACAGGAUUAGAAACCCGGGUAGUCCCA
rnacentral:rRNA from 1 species